UAAAAUGAAGGUAAUAAUAUUUAUCCAGCUGGGAUGCUGCAAGGAGUAAUUAAUGUGUACAAAUCACUGUGAGUUCCUCUAACAAAGUGCAAAUUGCAUUAGUCCCCACAGAAACUGGUAAUAGGUUUGUGUCUUCCUUCACUGAAAGUCUGACCUCAAUCCCCUGGGGUAAUCUUCAGGAAAAACUCUUCCUACUAUUUGUAUUUCAGCAGCUCAUAGGACUCCUCCAAUGCCAGGGUCCCCAUCAUGUCAGGGCUGCACCUUCACACAGUAACAUACACCCCACACUGAGCCCUGAUAAGGAAACUGAGGAAAGCCAGGAAAGGGGAAGGAUUAACCCUAUUUCAAAGGUCCACAGGCAUUUGUCAUGUGGAAGUCCAGCCAGCAAGGGGAGCCCCUAAUUCCCAGAGGCUACUCCCACUGGUUUUAGCACCAGGAGGCAAGAGGCAGGUUGCACUGAUUUUCAAGGAUCGGAGAUUUGAUGAAGAGCAUUCAUUUCAAGAAAUAAACCUUUUAAAUUAACCGCA
rnacentral:lncRNA from 1 species